rnacentral:lncRNA from 1 species
UGGCAUAAAUAGUGACAACGAAGUCAAGAGAUGAAACAUAUAGGAAAAUUUUGAAGAGCUACAGCAUGAAGUACAAGUAAUCCGAUAAGAACACCCUUAUUCUCUUGUUGUUUUAGCAUUAAGCACCAAAAUUCAAGGGAAGAAAACAAGGAUAGCGACAACAGCGUGAAAGUCCUACCGCAGAGAAAUACUCAUUAAACAUAUCCACACUGGUUGCCACUGAAUUUCUAUCCAGUCAUGAGAUUUUGCCUCUCAAUGACAAAUAUAUCCCAAUAAUGUAUAUACCAGAAGUAUAAAAUUUGAAAGUCAAAUCAUUGAUGAAAAAAUGAUUAAGCAACUAAUUCAUAAGUUAAGAGGAAAAAUACUGCGCACAUAUAGGAUACCUUAUCCCAGAAAUGGACAAGAUCAGCAUCCCGUUGGUUGACUGCUUUUGAAGGUGUCCUCAAGGAGUUUUCGUCGACAAAAGUAAUAUUAUCAUUAGAAGGAUUUGUUCCCAAAUAUAGGAAGAGAUGAUUGCUGCUAAGACCUAUAUCACCAUACUGCAUCACGUGAGAGCCAUAGUAUUCACUUCCACUGAUAGUCCUGUCUUUAACCUAUAAGCACAGGAGUAAAGAAGGCAUCAAUCACAUAAUUCUUACCACAUUUUCUACCCGUGGUGUUAGACCAAGAAUUCAACAAAAGCAGACUAAAAAAUCUCAGUGGAUUUAGAGAAAAUCAAGUUAGCAACAAGUUAUUACCAAUUUAUAUUGUUGGUGCAAGGAUUCUGUUCGCAGGUUGUGUAUAUCACUGCUCACAAGUAAAGAAAGAUUUAAAUUAGUACAAACAAAUCUUACAAAACUAAUUAUUCAAAAAACCUUCAGGUCUAAUUAAGAAAAGCUGCAAGUGGAAAUUAAAAUAAUUGAGAAUAAUUUAUUAUAAGAAAUUGUUUCAGAGUACAAAGACAGGCAUAUAAAACUCUCAUGAAGAUACACACAAGACGCAGUAGAAACAGGCAUUGAACUAACUACUUCAUGGUAAUUGCAUGGGUAUAAGAAGUAUUUCAUCACGUUAAAUAAACUCAUUUAUGAUAUAAUUAUGUUCCUUUAUUAUGCACAUACCUA